rnacentral:rRNA from 1 species
AUUGAACGCUGGCGGCAUGCCUUACACAUGCAAGUCGAACGGUAACAGGUCUUCGGAUGCUGACGAGUGGCGAACGGGUGAGUAAUACAUCGGAACGUGCCUAGUAGUGGGGGAUAACUACUCGAAAGAGUGGCUAAUACCGCAUGAGAUCUACGGAUGAAAGCAGGGGAUCGCAAGACCUUGUGCUACUAGAGCGGCCGAUGGCAGAUUAGGUAGUUGGUGGGAUAAAAGCUUACCAAGCCGACGAUCUGUAGCUGGUCUGAGAGGACGAUCAGCCACACUGGGACUGAGACACGGCCCAGACUCCUACGGGAGGCAGCAGUGGGGAAUUUUGGACAAUGGGCGCGAGCCUGAUCCAGCAAUGCCGCGUGCAGGAUGAAGGCCUUCGGGUUGUAAACUGCUUUUGUACGGAACGAAAAGCCCUGGGUUAAUACCCUGGGGUCAUGACGGUACCGUAAGAAUAAGCACCGGCUAACUACGUGCCAGCCGCCGCUGUAAAAC